rnacentral:lncRNA from 1 species
ACCCAUUUUUUGAAGGACUAAGGGUUUGCUUUAUUAUUCUUUUAAAUGAAUUGGAUCAGAAUAUUGUGGGCCCACCAAAAGAAAACCCUAGAGCAAUAAAUCGACGUUGGCGGUGGCGGUGGUUGUGGCGGUGGUGGAGGAGAGAGCCCGGCGCAUGUUAGCGUUAAGGCUCACAGAUAUUAUUUGAGCAAUAAAUCGACGUUGGCGGUGGCGGUGGUGGAGGAGAGUGCCCGGCGCAUGUUAGCGUUAAGGCUCACAGAUAUUAUUUGAGAGGACGGAGAGGAGGGUAGAAUUAUUAUUCUUUUUCGUUAAACGUUAAAAAUAAAAAUAAAAACAAUAUACUUUGCUGUUUGUUGGAUUGUUGGAACAUCAAGAUCGACUAUGCAAUAUGGACCAGUGUGUAAAGUGAUCAUAAGGUUUGUACAUUUUGCUGAAUUUUGUUAUACUUUACUAGAUUUUCUUUUUUGCUACCGAUAAUGACACGGAGGACAAA